UGGGGAAUAUUGCACAAUGGAGGGAACUCUGAUGCAGCGACGCCGCGUGAGUGAUGAAGGAAUUCGUUUCGUAAAACUCUGUUCUAUGGGAAGAAAAGGACUGUACCAUAGGAGAAAGCUCCGGCUAAAUACGUGCCAGCAGCCGCGGUAAUACGUAUGGAGCGAGCGUUGUCCGGAAUUAUUGGGCGUAAAGUGUGCGCAGGCGGCUUUACAAGUUGGAUGUGAAAUAUUGUGGCUCAACCACAAACGUGCAUCCAAAACUGCAAAGCUUGAGUUAAGGAGAGGUAAGUGGAAUUCCUGGUGUAGAGGUGGAAUGCGUAGAUAUCAGGAGGAAUACCGGUGGCGAAGGCGACUUACUGGACUUAAACUGACGCUCAGGCACGAAAGCGUGGGGAGCAAACAGG
rnacentral:rRNA from 1 species